AAAAAGGGCUUCUGUUGUGAGUGGACACAUGUUGGGCAACUCAACUGCUCUUUGUGCGGAAUCAACAUCAAGAGAUUUUGGAAGCAUCAUUUUUUAGUACCUGGGGAGCUGGUGAUCAUUGGUCUCAGUGCCCAU